CAUUCAUACAAACAUACAUUUCAGUCCCGUUCGCCUACUGUGUUUUUCUUUUAGUAAACAAAAAUGGAUUUUAUCGACGAUUUUAUUGAGGAAUAUAAAUGCAAUCCAUGCCUCUGGAAAGCGGACUCUGCCGACUUCAGAAAUCGGAGCCGACGGCAGGAGGCGUACAUGAAGCUUAUAGAAGUAGCCACCAAGCAUGGAGAGAUGUACAAUGUCGAAAGAACAAAGCAAAAGAUAAACAAUCUUCGGUGUGCAUUUCGUCAUCAGUUAAGAAAGUACAACGAGGUUAAGAAAAAAGGCGAGAAGUACGAGCCCUACUGCCCGAAGCGGCGCUACUUUGAGUCGCUAAUGUUCCUCAAGGACGAGGAGAUCCCGGACAAGAAGUGCAAGCGGGAGCAGCAGGCCUGUUCCGAGAGCGCGGCGGCUCAGCUGGCGCUCCCAGAGAACUGCGACGAGUUCUCCGACGCAGAGAGCCUGCCGAAGCCACCGAAGACGGAUUCCAGCAACAAGCUAUCCCCCAAUAACAGUGCGAAUGAAUUCUGUGCCAUCUUUGAGGAGGCCGCCGCCACCACCGCUGACCCCGUCAUCAGUAUUAAGACAGUCAACGCUAACAACCAUGCUGGCGGCGCCACUAUCAAGGAGGUAGAGAUCGUUGUACCCGCCAACAACAGCAGCAGCAACAGAGUGCUGUCGGCGCGUAGAAAAUCACUUCCCGAUUCGGUGAAACCCCUUGGAGACAGUGUCGAGCACUGCAAACGCAUUGUCGCCCAACCGAGACAAAAUCAUAAUCAGACCCAGAAUCAGGAGCAGAACCACAUCAGUCGAAAGCGCUCCUCCUCUGUGUCCUCGCAGGUGACAGAGGACAAUGAUCCGCCACCGGGUAAAUUCCGGGCAGACCUAUCCACAAUCGAUGUUGAGCGACUGUUUUCGCUGGCGCUGAAGAGUGCCGACAGCCAGCUGGACGAUCACUUCUCAAACUUUGGCAAGGUCAUCGCCCACAAGCUGCGAACCAUGGACGCCACUCAGGCUAUAUAUGCCGAGAAAAUAAUAGCCGAUGUUCUAUAUCAGGGGCAGAUGAAAAUGCUCUCUACACUGAGCAUACAUCAGUUUUUAGGAGUUGACAAUGCCACGGUUUAUGUGGAAAGUCACACCAAAUGAUGGGCCCCGCUAAAGACGUACUUUUAGACUUUAUGUAAUAAUAAGAUAAAGAUAAAGAACAGAUAAAAUAUACAAUUAGGACGGAAAUGGCUAUGGAAGUGAAGCUGGAAAAUGAAACACUACAAAUGAUGUCGAAACUAAUUU